AUUGAACGCUGGCGGCAGGCUUAACACAUGCAAGUCGAGCGGAGUGAUGGUGCUUGCACUAUUACUUAGCGGCGGACGGGUGAGUAAUGCUUAGGAAUCUGCCAUUUAGUGGGGGACAACAUUCCGAAAGGAAUGCUAAUACCGCAUACGUCCUACGGGAGAGAGCAGGGGAUCUUCGGACCUUGCGCUAAAUGAUGAGCCUAAGUCGGAUUAGCUAGUUGGUGGGGUAAAGGCCUACCAAGGCGACGAUCUGUAGCGGGUCUGAGAGGAUGAUCCGCCACACUGGGACUGAGACACGGCCCAGACUCCUACGGGAGGCAGCAGUGGGGAAUAUUGGACAAUGGGCGGAAGCCUGAUCCAGCCAUGCCGCGUGUGUGAAGAAGGCCUUUUGGUUGUAAAGCACUUUAAGCGAGGAGGAGGCUCUCCUAGUUAAUACCUAGGAAGAGUGGACGUUACUCGCAGAAUAAGCACCGGCUAACUCUGUGCCAGCCGCCGCGGUAAAAC
rnacentral:rRNA from 1 species